AACGAACGCUGGCGGCGUGCCUAACACAUGCAAGUCGUGCGAGAAAGUUCCUUCGGGAGCGAGUAAAGCGGCGCACGGGUGAGUAACACGUAGGUAACCUGCCCCCCAGUCUGGAACAACUAGAGGAAACUCUAGCUAAUGCCGGAUGAGACCACGAUCCCGUUCGGGGGUUGCGGACCAAAGAUGGCCUCUACUUGUAAGCUAUCGCUGGAGGGAUGGGCCUGCGGGCCAUUAGCUUGUUGGUGAGGUAACGGCUCACCAAGGCUGUGAUGGCUAGCUGGUCUGAGAGGAUGACCAGCC
rnacentral:rRNA from 1 species